UACGUAGGCAGCGAGCGUUGUUCGGAGUUACUGGGCGUAAAGGGUGUGUAGGCGGUUGUUUUAAGUUUGGUGUGAAAUCUCCCGGCUCAACUGGGAGGGUGCGCCGAAUACUGAAUGACUAGAGUGCGGGAGAGGAAGUGGAAUUCCUGGUGUAGCGGUGAAAUGCGUAGAUAAUCAGGAGGAACACCGGUGGUGUAGACGGCUUUCUGGACCGUAACUGACGCUGAGACACGAAAGCGUUGGGUAGCAAACAGG
rnacentral:rRNA from 1 species